CGCAAUGGGCGAAAGCCUGACGGAGCAAUGCCGCGUGAAGGAUGAAGGCCUGUGGGUUGUAAACUUCUUUUUUCAGAGAAGAAAUUUUGACGGUAUUUGAGGAAUAAGCAUCGGCUAACUCUGUGCCAGCAGCCGCGGUAAGACAGAGGAUGCAAGCGUUAUCCGGAAUGAUUGGGCGUAAAGCGUCUGUAGGUGGCUUGACAAGUCUCCUGUCAAAGAUCAGGGCUUAACCCUGGGCCGGCAGGAGAAACUAUCAGGCUAGAGUUCGGUAGGGGCAGAGGGAAUUCCCGGUGGAGCGGUGAAAUGCGUAGAUAUCGGGAGGAACACCAACGGCGAAAGCACUUUGCUGGGCCGAUUUAUGAUGUAAUUCGGUACAACAU
rnacentral:rRNA from 1 species